rnacentral:rRNA from 1 species
GAUGAACGCUGGCGGCGUGCCUAAUACAUGCAAGUCGAGCGAACAGAUGAGGAGCUUGCUCCUCUGACGUUAGCGGCGGACGGGUGAGUAACACGUGGAUAACCUACCUAUAAGACUGGGAUAACUUCGGGAAACCGGAGCUAAUACCGGAUAAUAUAUUGAACCGCAUGGUUCAAUAGUGAAAGACGGUUUUGCUGUCACUUAUAGAUGGAUCCGCGCCGCAUUAGCUAGUUGGUAAGGUAACGGCUUACCAAGGCAACGAUGCGUAGCCGACCUGAGAGGGUGAUCGGCCACACUGGAACUGAGACACGGUCCAGACUCCUACGGGAGGCAGCAGUAGGGAAUCUUGCGCAAUGGGCGAAAGCCUGACGGAGCAACGCCGCGUGAGUGAUGAAGGUCUUCGGAUCGUAAAACUCUGUUAUUAGGGAAGAACAAAUGUGUAAGUAACUAUGCACGUAUUGACGGUACCUAAUCAGAAAGCCACGGCUAACUACGUG